rnacentral:ncRNA from 1 species
CGACGCCUCUGGAAAGCGGUGGUGACACACCCGCCGAUGGGGAAAGGCGCCGGGCACUAGGCGGCACCGAAUCUCUCAGGCGCCCGGCGAACGGGUGAAGACAGAGGGAGAG